UUCUAGUGAUGAGUCUGCCAUGCUAAUACUGAUACUCCAGGUAGACUGUCUAUCUGGGUGUAAGUGCGAAGUAAAGAGAAU